CCUACGGGUGGCAGCAGUGAGGAAUAUUGGUCAAUGGACGCAAGUCUGAACCAGCCAUGCCGCGUGCAGGAAGACGGCUCUAUGAGUUGUAAACUGCGUUUGUACGAGGGUAAACUCAGAUACGCGUAUCUGUCUGAAUGUACCGUACGAAUAAGGAUAGGCUAACUCCGUGCCAGCAGCCGCGGUAAUACGGAGGAUUCAAGCGUUAUCCGGAUUUAUUGGGUUUAAAGGGUGCGUAGGCGGUCGGAUAAGUUAGAGGUGAAAUCCCGGGGCUCAACUUCGGAAUUGCCUCUGAUACUGUUAGGCUAGAGCGUAGUUGCGGUAGGCGGAAUGUAUGGUGUAGCGGUGAAAUGCUUAGAGAUCAUGCAGAACACCGAUUGCGAAGGCAGCUUACCAAGCUACAUCUGACGUUGAGGCACGAAAGCGUGGGGAGCAAACAGGAUUAGAUACCCCUGUAGUC
rnacentral:rRNA from 1 species